rnacentral:rRNA from 1 species
CGCGUAGGCGGGGCCGCAAGUCCGGGGUGAAAGCCCCCAGCUCAACUGGGGAAGCGCCCCGGAUACUGCGGCCCUCGAGGGGGGUAGGGGCGUGCGGAACUUCCGGUGGAGCGGUGAAAUGCGUAGAUAUCGGAAGGAACACCGGUGGCGAAAGCGGCGCGCUGGACCCCUUCUGACGCUGAGGCGCGAAAGCCAGGGGAGCAAAC